UCGGAUUGUAGUCUGCAACCCGACUACAUGAAGCUGGAAUCGCUAGUAAUCGCGGAUCAGAAUGCCGCGGUGAAUACGUUCCCGGGUCUUGUACACACCGCCCGUCACACCAUGGGAGUCGGAAAUGCCCGAAGUCUGUGACCCAACCGCGAGGAGGGAGCAGCCGAAGGCAGGUCGGAUGACUGGGGUGAAGUCGUAACAAGGUAUC
rnacentral:rRNA from 1 species